rnacentral:rRNA from 1 species
UAAUACAUGCAAGUCGAGCGAACAGACGAGGAGCUUGCUCCUCUGACGUUAGCGGCGGACGGGUGAGCAACACGUGGAUAACCUACCUAUAAGACUGGGAUAACUUCGGGAAACCGGAGCUAAUACCGGAUAAUAUAUUGAACCGCAUGGUUCAAUAGUGAAAGACGGUUUUGCUGUCACUUAUAGAUGGAUCCGCGCCGCAUUAGCUAGUUGGUAAGGUAACGGCUUACCAAGGCAACGAUGCGUAGCCGACCUGAGAGGGUGAUCGGCCACACUGGAACUGAGACACGGUCCAGACUCCUACGGGAGGCAGCAGUAGGGAAUCUUCCGCAAUGGGCGAAAGCCUGACGGAGCAACGCCGCGUGAGUGAUGAAGGUCUUCGGAUCGUAAAACUCUGUUAUUAGGGAAGAACACAUGUGUAAGUAACUAUGCACGUCUUGACGGUACCUAAUCAGAAAGCCACGGCUAACUACGUGCCAGCAGCCGCGGUCAUACGUAGGUGGCAAGCGUUAUCCGGAAUUAUUGGGCGUAAAGCGCGCGUAGGCGGUUUUUUAAGUCUGAUGUGAAAGCCCACGGCUCAAUCCGUGGAGGGUCAUUGGAAACUGGAAAACUUGAGUGCAGAAGAGGAAAGUGGAAUUCCAUGUGUAGCGGUGAAAUGCGCAGAGAUAUGGAGGAACACCAGUGGCGAAGGCGACUUUCUGGUCUGU